rnacentral:rRNA from 1 species
ACAUUUCUUUUAGAUUGUCUUAAAAGUAAGGUCUGCCCACUGUAUUAAAUAAAGGGCCGCGGUAUUUUGACCGUGCAAAGGUAGCAUAAUCAUUAGUCUUUUAAUUGGGGAAUGGAAUGAAUGGCUUAAUGAUUUUUUUCUUUUAUUUAUGUUAGAAAUUAGAAAUUUGAUUUUAAGUGAAAAUACUUAAAUUUAUUAAUUAGACGAUAAGACCCUAUAGAAUUUUACUUUAACUAUUUAUUUUUAAAUUUAAAAAGUUUAAAUGGGGCAUUUUUUGAAUAAAAUUAAUUUCUUUAAAAUUUUUUAAAAUAUCUUUUUUUUAAGAUUAUAAAAAAAUUACCUUAGGGAUAACAGCGUAAUAAUUUUUGAGAGUUCAUAUCGACAAAAUAGUUUGCGACCUCGAUGUUGAAUUAAAAUACCUAUAUAAAGCAGCUUUUUUAUAAGGUAGUCUGUUCGACUAUAAAAAUUUUACAUGAUUUGAU